rnacentral:rRNA from 1 species
UAGGGAAUCUUCCGCAAUGGACGCAAGUCUGACGGAGCAACGCCGCGUGAGUGAAGAAGGAUUUCGGUUCGUAAAACUCUGUUGUUAGAGAAGAACAGCGCAUAGAGUAACUGUUAUGCGUGUGACGGUAUCUAACCAGAAAGCCACGGCUAACUACGUGCCAGCAGCCGCGGUAAUACGUAGGUGGCAAGCGUUGUCCGGAUUUAUUGGGCGUAAAGCGAGCGCAGGCGGUUAGAUAAGUCUGAAGUUAAAGGCAGUGGCUCAACCAUUGUAGGCUUUGGAAACUGUUUAACUUGAGUGCAGAAGGGGAGAGUGGAAUUCCAUGUGUAGCGGUGAAAUGCGUAGAUAUAUGGAGGAACACCGGCGGCGAAAGCGGCUCUCUGGUCUGUAACUGACGCUGAGGCUCGAAAGCGUGGGUAGCAAACAGG